UGGGGAAUUGUUCGCAAUGGGCGAAAGCCUGACGACGCAACGCCGCGUGGAGGAUGAAGGUCUUCGGAUUGUAAACUCCUGUUGCCCGGGACGAAAUGCUUCAACCUAAUACGUUGAAGUUUGACGGUACCGGGUGAGGAAGCCCCGGCUAACUCUGUGCCAGCAGCCGCGGUAAUACAGAGGGGGCAAGCGUUGUUCGGAAUUACUGGGCGUAAAGGGCGCGUAGGCGGCCUGCUAAGUCGAACGUGAAAUCCCUGGGCUCAACCCAGGAACUGCGUCCGAUACUGGUUGGCUUGAAUCCGGGAGAGGGAUGCGGAAUUCCAGGUGUAGCGGUGAAAUGCGUAGAUAUCUGGAGGAACACCGGUGGCGAAGGCGGCAUCCUGGACCGGCAUUGACGCUGAGGCGCGGAAGCUAGGGGAGCGAA
rnacentral:rRNA from 1 species